AAACGACUCUCGGCAACGGAUAUCUGGGCUCUCGCAUCGAUGAAGAACGUAGCGAAAUGCGAUACUUGGUGUGAWUGGCAGAAUCCCGUGAACCAUCGAGUCUUUGAACGCAAGUUGCGCCCGAAGCCAUUAGGCCGAGGGCACGUCUGCCUGGGCGUCACGC
rnacentral:rRNA from 1 species